AGAUUAAGAAGUUUUUCACUCCACCAGUGAUCCAGAAUUUCACCAUCGCGUUUACUCUUUUCACAGUCUUUCUCCAUCUCUCUUCUUCCGGCGAUUCUUCCACCGUCGCAACCCAAACCGCGCCACAAGCUAAACCCUAACGCGGCGUCACUUCAUUCACGUUCAACGCCGAUCGUCCGCUUUCGUCUCCGCUCUUGUAGUUCUCUCGCUCUCAUCGCGGUUACGACCCAGGUCGCUCCCUUCCCUUGUCUUCGCCGUGUCGAGUCAGCCAUAAAAAGCUCUGUGGAUUCUUAGAGAGUAAUGUGAUUCAAUGGGGAAGAUAGUUUCAAAGUUCCUGCUGAGGACUUGUUGCAUCUAGUUGAAGCAUUAAGUUGUUAUUACUGAGCUUCAUUCGGAUGAUGCUAAGAGAGUUAUUGAGGCAUUAUGUAUACUUGUCAUAUCUUCUUUACAGGGGUGUCAAAACGGAGUUAGAAAUGCAGCGGGAUGGGAAUCGUAGUAUUGUUCUUGAUGUUAAAACUCUGCGUGUUGCACUACCAGUGCAGGGACAUCAAUGUGGGUAACUUUGAUCGUGGUGCUGUUAAGCCUGCUGAAUUUGGGAUGGCCAAUCAAUUCCUCCAAGUCGUCGUCGUUGAAGCCGCCGCCAUCGUCGCUUGUCGCCCAUCACACCGCCGUCAUCGCUCUGCUCGUCGUUGCCAUUUCAGACUUUUAGCGGUUCUGCAACUAAACACAUUUUAUAUCGCACUUAAAAGUGUGAUGGUUACGCACCAAAAACUCAUUCAACUUCUGUAAUUAAAGCAAAAAUCGUUGGAAUCUAAAUAGUCUUCCAUGCAUUGUAAAUAUUGCUUUGAAUGUGGACGUCACACUUUGGAAUCCAAACGACCAUCAAUUUUUCUCAA